AGGAUUCCCCUAGUAACUGCGAGUGAAGCGGGAAAAGCUCAAAUUUAAAAUCUGGCAGUCUCUGGCUGUCCGAAUUGUAAUCUAGAGAAGUAAUGCCCGUGCUGGACCGUGUAUAAGUCUCCUGGGAUGGGGCGUCAUAGAGGGUGAGAAUCCCGUCUUUGACACGGACUACCAGUGCAUUGUGGUAUGCUCUCAAAGAGUCGAGUUGUUUGGGAAUGCAGCUCAAAAUGGGUGGUAAAUUCCAUCUAAAGCUAAAUAUUGGCGAGAGACCGAUAGCGAACAAGUACCGUGAGGGAAAGAUGAAAAGAACUUUGGAAAGAGAGUUAAACAGUACGUGAAAUUGCUGAAAGGGAAACGCUUGAAGUCAGUCGCGUUGGCCGGGAAUCAGCCUUGCUUUUGCAUGGUGUACUUUCUGGUUGACGGGUCAGCAUCAAUUUUGACCGCUGGAAAAAGGCCUGGGGAAUGUGGCAGCUUCGGCUGUGUUAUAACCCCUAGUCGCAUACAGUGGUUGGGAUUGAGGAACUCAGCACGCCGCAAGGCCGGGUUUCGACCACGUUCGUGCUUAGGAUGCUGGCAUAAUGGCUUUAAGCGACCCGUCUUGAAACACGGACCAAGGAGUCUAACAUGCCUGCGAGUAUUUGGGUGGAAAACUCAAGUGCGUAAUGAAAGUGAAAGUUGAGAUCCCUGUCGUGGGGAGCAUCGACGCCCGGACCAGAACUUUUGGGACGGAUCCGCGGUGGAGCAUGUAUGUUGGGACCCGAAAGAUGGUGAACUAUGCCUGAAUAGGGUGAAGCCAGAGGAAACUCUGGUGGAGGCUCGUAGCGAUUCUGACGUGCAAAUCGAUCGUCAAAUUUGGGUAUAGGGGCGAAA
rnacentral:rRNA from 1 species